GGAUGUGGGGGCAAUCUGCAACAUCUGUCACUCCACUGAUCACCAGAAUUGAUUCAGCUGAUCUGACUAGCUAGGUGAGUGUUCCCUUCCUCCCUCACCACUCCAUGUAUGUCUCUCCUGAAGCUGCAAAAGGACAGCCUUCUCCAGUAGAGACAUCAGUCUCUUAUCUCCAGUUCCCAGUAGCUUAAUUGCACAAAUUCUUGCUAGGAGUCCUGCAUUUUCCAUAACACUUCUGUAU
rnacentral:snRNA from 12 species